AUCUUGAGUAAUUUUGUGUCAUAUGCAAAUUUUGCCACCUCAUUGUUCACCUCUUUUCUCCUUACAGUGUAUCAUUUAUGAAUAUGUUGAACAGCACAGGCCCCAAUACAGCUCCUUGGGGAACCCUGCUAUUUGCCUCUCUCCAUUGUGAAAACUGACCAUGUAUUCCUAUCCUUUGUUUCUUAUCUUUUAACCAGUUACUGAUCCAUGAGAGGACCUUCCCUCUUAUCCCAUGACUGCUUAGUUUGCUUAAGAGCCUUUGCUGUGGGACCUUGUCAAAGGAUACUGUAUCUACUGGAGCACACUUUUCAAUCAUGUUGACUCCUUCCAAGAAUUUAAUAGGUUGGUGAGACUUCCAGUUCCUGGAAGCAAGUGAUCAUGUGAGAAUCUCAGCUUUCAUUUAUAAAAGAGAGUGGAGAGUAAGUUUAUAGUCCUUAUGAUUGCAGAGAAAAGCUUGAAUAUGUGAACUGAGUGAGCCCUAAAGGCUCAAAACCAGAAGGCAAAUAAUAACCCAGUUUUAAAAAAAUCUCAUGAUUUGUAAGCCAAGCUCAUGAUUUGGAAUGCUCACAGUUGACGAUCAUGCUGAACUGUGUCUACAAAAGAAAAGUCCUUUAACCUAACUCCUUUGCCAUGCACAGCAGAGAUCUGAGCAGCAAGUACAGCCUGUAACCAAGAAUGAAUCCACACUUGGUCAACAGAAGAAGGAGGGAGAGAAAGAGAGAGAGAAGAUUGAAAUGUACACAUCUCCAGAACAGAAAGAAAUAAUUAUGCUUCCAUUCCUAGGUAGAAAGAAUCUUCUGUAGAAACAGCAUGAAUCUCUUCUAUUGAAAGUUCAGAUCCUGUUCUGGUAUAACUCUCUCUUUUUGAUCUUGGAAUAUUUUUCUUUGGCACUGGAUUGAAGAAUUUAAAGGAGUUAAAGAGAGCUACCUAAUAAUUUUGGAGCAGGAGUUAUAACAUGGGAUCUUUGAAAUAAAAACAGUGACGCACUAAGAGUGAAAAGUGCCUCUUCACUGAAUAUUUUCCAGGCUUUCAAGAAUUCUUCCAAAUUUCAGUAAGAGUUAAAGAUUUUAGCAGUUAGUCUACAAAUGGAGAUGACCUCUUCCUUUUUCUGACCCACCCAGCUCAGCUACCAUA